rnacentral:lncRNA from 1 species
GGUUCCUAAACCACUCUAUGCUCUAACUCUUUUAUUGCUUUUCUUUUCCAAAUCCAAACUAUAUAAAAUCUCAUAAGACUAUGCAAGUUAUUGGCUCGGGAUCUGUUAAUUCAGGAUUCUUUUGAUUCCUGUUCUUUCAUGUGAUACUCAAUAGUGGAAACAACCGGAAAUUUCAAAACAGUUCUCUUCAUAAAUUGAAACUUCCAUAAUAUUCAGUGUGUCACUUUUUGCUUUUGUUGUUUCUGGAAUUUAGGGCCUUGGGUUGUUGACCUUGUCUGCAGCAUUACCUUCUCUCGGCAUUUCUGCCUGCCAUGAGACUGAAAAAUUCCUGCCAUGCUCCCCGAAUCCCGUCCAAGUAAUUUUGUUUUUCUUCUCCUUAUAUCUGUUGGCAUUUGGUAAAGGGGGACACGAGCCUUGCAUCCAAGCUUUCGGAGCCGAUCAAUUUGAUGGACAGCAUCCAGAAGAGAGAAAAGCUAAAAGCUCUUUCUUCAAUUGGUGGUACUUGGGUAUCUCUUUGGCUUGCUUGUUAACUGUUAAUAUCAUGAGCUAUGUGCAAGAUAACCUCAGUUGGAGUCUUGGGUUUGGAAUUCCUUGUACUGCAAUGGUUUUUGGACUUGUAGUGUUCUUGCUUGGAACUAGGACGUACAGGUUCAGUAACAGAAGAGAUGAGGAAAACCCAUUUGUAAGAAUUGGACGGGUGUUUAUCACUGCAAUAAGAAAUUGGCAUGUAAACUCCUUAGAGAUAGCUCAUGAAGAGGAAAGUCAUGGCCUUUUGCCGCACCAUAACUCCAAACAGUUGAGGUAAAUUAAAUGUCCAAAAGAAGGGUAAAGUGUAUGCUUUGUCACCUCUAGAGUAUUUCUCUUCUCGCCAGAAAUGUUGUCCUUAAGUGGAUGUAUUAUGUAACUGCCUUAGAAACCAUGCAACCAUUUUCUUUAAUGGAUUCUCUAAUUUUGUAGGUUUCUCGACAAAGCUUUGAUUGUACCUAAUAGUUUAAAGGAAGAAUGUCGAGCAUGUAGCAUCAAUGAAGUUGAGGAAGCAAAAGCAGUGCUGAAGCUCGUUCCAAUUUGGGCAACAUGCUUAACAUAUGCUAUUGUAUUCUCCCAGUCGUCAACUUUCUUUAUAAAACAAGGAGUGACACUGGACAGAUCAAUAGUUGAUGGAUUUGAAGUACCAGCUGCUUCACUUCAAUCUUUUAUCAGUCUAGGUGUUGUCAUUUCCCUCGUAAUAUAUGAUCGCGUACUCAUUCCAACUGCAAGAAAGUUCACUCGAAAACCUUCUGGAAUUACAAUGCUACAAAGAAUUGGAUUUGGGAUGCUAUUAUCCAUCAUUUCCAUGGUUGUUGCUGCAUUAGUUGAGGGAAAAAGGCUCAAAACAGCUAAAGAAUAUGGCCUUGUUGAUCUACCAAAGGCGACUAUUCCUUUGAAUAUAUGGUGGUUGGUUCCUCAAUAUGUAUUAUUUGGAGUAGCCAGUACUUUCACCAUGGUUGGUUUGCAGGAGUUUUUCUAUGACCAAGUUCCAAGUGGAUUAAGAAGCAUUGGUGUCUCCUUGAACUUGAGUAUUUUUGGCACUGGUAGCUUUUUAAGCAGCUUUCUCGUCUUUGCCAUUGAAAAGUUAACUAGUGGGGAUGAGAAACAAAGCUGGUUUGACAAUAAUCUCAACAAAGCUCAUCUUGAUUACUUCUAUUGGUUGCUUGUUGGGCUUAGUGUUGUUGGGUUGGCUGCUUUCUUGUGUUUUGCAAGAACUUACAUCUAUAAUAAGGGGAAUACUACACAAGUAUAAUUUGGUAGAGUGUAUUUGGUUAGAGGAGUUGAGAAAUAGGAGUUGAAAAGUGAGAGCAGGAAACUACGUUCUUGUUCACUUUAAGAGGGUUUAUGGGUCAUACUACUAAAAAAAACAUAAAUUUAAUUUAUAAUCAACUAUUUCCGUCGUGAGUUCAAGAGUUUAUUAAUCUCCAGAUUUUGGGACUCUUACUAUUACAUUUCUUAUCUAUAACAACAUCCUCUUAGGGAGCAUUGCUAUCUAAAUCUAUGAGAUUUAAAAUACAUCUUUAUGUACUGAAAUUCAAUCGUUUGAAACUUAGACUUAGAAGUUUGGGAAUCCAAUUUUUAGAUUUGUCUUCAUAGUUAAUUACUUAGAAGUCUCUCUUGCUUUGUUGGAACAAAAAAUUACAUUAACAUUGAACUCCACGAUCGGUUAAUCCGGCAAUAAUCUUAAUUCAUAAGGUAAGUUUGUCAAUAAAGAUGAAAAUUUGUUGAUUUUGAUUGUUGCUUCAAGCUUUCCCUAUAGUUUGGAAAAUUUAGAACUAUCAAUCAUGAAAAAUAGUGUCCAUUUAUUAUAUGCAUUUAUUAGAUGUUUUAACAAUAUUUUAAAACUGAUACAAUUUAUCAUUGAAGAGGAAGGAGUCAUGCAGGAAGAUGGGAAUUAGAGAAUGAAACAGAUGAAGAUGUUAAAUAAUUUGAAGCUAAACACUACAUAUUUCAUACUUAUAUGUAGUUUAUUUUGAUAUGAAUAUCCACCCAAUGAAUAUUCUUAUAUAAAUUGUUUAAAAUGUAAUUAAAAAAUUAGUUUUGAGUAAUUUUUUAAUUUUUUUUUUUCAAAAGAACUUAUUUUUUAAAUUGUACACUUAAGAAUAUAAUCCAAACACUACUAAUGAUAGUAAAUCAUAAUUUAAAUUAAGUAUGCAUGAAAUCAAACUUAAGUAUUUAAAACAAUUUGGAUCAAAAUUAUAUGAGUAAUUAAAAAAAUAUUUAAAAAAAAGCAUGAACUUUGCACAUUCUUGAUUUAAUAUUAAGUUGAUUUUUGAAUACAAUAUUACCACAUGCUAUCAUUGCGUGUUACGAAAACUACAUUUCUUCAUUUAUUGUAACCAUUAAUGUGCAUCGCGUGUUACGAAAACUAUAUAAAACUUCAUUAUUUCUCUAACUAACCACCACACCUCCCUUCCCACUGGCCUUUCUCCCGGCCCCCGCUCCUCACCAGUUUUUCUCCGGCGACGCACUCCGCCAGCUUCAAGCUUCCGUCCACGCUGCGUUGUUUUGCCUUUUUUUUUUCUUUUUCUCCUCUGCAUUUCUCUACAGCUAGGCUCAAGGGCACGGUGCUACACAAGCUUAAGACAGUGGUGAAAGUAGUAACCGGGCGCUUUGACCCAUUAAUGCAGCGGUGAGGCUUCCUUCUCUUGGCUAAUUAUUGUCCUUCGGCUGUGAUCCACGCCGAUUAGAUUAGUUUUUCCAUUUCUUGAAGAUGACAGAAGGGCGAAUUCGAACUUAUUCGAUCACCAAUCAGAUUACAUUUGAUGCUGUUUAGCGUCUUUCGAUAGACUCGGAGUAGUUUCGUACCAAUGUGAACACCUUCUAGGAGAAAUUCAAGUAAAUUUUGGUAAGAUUUAAGUUAUGUUUAAACCCUUUCAAUCUCUAUUAAAGUAUGUUAGAUCAUUCUUAAACCGUUGGAAAGUCCUUGUUUGCAUUUUGUUUUGAACUUUUUGUUAGGCCACGAGAUACAGUAGAACAAUAUAUUUAUUUUGUUUCUAUCUUGAAAAUGCGAAGUUCUAAGCACAUUAUUGAUUUCGGUUUAGGUUUUGUAAAUGGCGUUUGGAUAAAGGGUCUCAUGAUGAAAUGGUUUUGAUAAUGCAAUAUAUGGGGUUUUGAACUCUGUUGGAUAUACUGGAGUAAUUGCUGAGGAGUGUUCAAACAUCAUUUGAAAGGAAUCUGAUUUGCAAGACUUUCUAACAACAAGUGUACCUCAAAAUGGAGGUUCCUCUUUUGGAUGAGACGGUGGAGGGCGUAGUUGAUUACCAUGGCCACCCAGUCUGCAGAUCCAUUUCCGGGGGCUGGAGGUCUGCCUCCCUAAUCAUAGGUAAAUCGUCAUUACUCUUUUCUCUUUCUUCGCUUUCCCUAUCCAACUUCUGCAUCCUCUUCCAUUGUGAUCAGCGGUGGAGAUUGCCGAGAGAUUUGCUUACUUUGGAGUUUCCUCAAAUUUGAUUAACUUCUUAACGGACCAGCUCCAUCAGUCAACGGCCACAGCAGCCAAGAAUGUCAACACCUGGUCCGGUACCGCCACCUUGCUACCUUUACUCGGGGCCUUUCUGGCUGAUUGCUUCCUUGGACGAUAUCGUACUAUUGUUCUUUCCUCUGCUCUUUACAUUCUGGUUCCCCACCACUUCAUGCUCUUACUCUUUUAUUUGCUUUCCUUUAUUCAUUCCCAACUAUCUCUAAAGACUAUGCAAGUUAUUGGCUAGGGAUAUGGUAAUUCAUGGUUAUUUUGAUUCCUAUUAUUUCACAUAAUACGAAUAGUGGAAACAAUUGGAAAUUGCAAAAUAGUAUUCCUCUUCCCUCCAUAUUUUUCAUAAAUUGAAAUUUUCAAAAUAGUUAUUCCGUGUGUAACUUUUUUCUUUGCGUUCUAUCUGAAAUUUAGGGUCUUGGGUUCUUGACUGUGUAUGCAACAUUACCUUCUCCUGACAUUUCUGCCUGCCAAGAGACUGAAAACUCCCUAACAUGUUCCCCCAAUCUAGUACAAGUAAUUUUAUUUUUCUUCUCCUUAUAUCUGGUGGCAUUUGCUCAAGGGGGACACAAACCUUGCGUCCAAGCUUUUGGCGCUGACCAAUUCGAUGGACAGCAUCCCGAAGAGAGCAAAGCUAAAAGCUCUUUCUUCAAUUGGUGGUACUUCGGUAUCUCUUUGGCCAGCCUUUUUACGGUUAAUAUCAUGAGCUAUGUGCAAGAUUAUCUCAGUUGGAGUCUUGGUUUUGGGAUUCCCUGUAUUGCAAUGGUUUUUGCACUUGCAAUCUUCUUGCUUGGAACUAGGACAUACAGGUUCAGCAACAGAGGAGAUGAGGAAAACCCAUUUGUAAGAAUUGGACGGGUGUUUAUCACUGCAAUAAGAAAUUUGCAUGUAAACUCUUCAGAAAUAGCUCAUGUCGAGGAAACCCAUGGCCUUUUACCGCACAAUAACUCUACACAGUUGAGGUAAUUCAAAUGUCUAAAAGAAGGGUAAAAUGUAUGAUUUGUCACCACUAGAGUAUUUCUGUUCCCGUAGAAAUGUUGUUCUUAAGCAGAUGUAUUUUGUAAUUCCCUUAGAAACCAUGUGACCGUUUUGUUACUGGAUUCUAUAAUUUUGUAGGUUUCUGGACAAAGCUUUAAUUGUACCUAAUAGUUUGAAAGAAGACGGUCAUGCAUGUAGCAUCAAUGAAGUUGAGGAUGCAAAAGCAGUACUGAGGCUCGUUCCAAUUUGGGUGACAUGCUUAGGAUAUGCUAUUGUAUUCUCCCAGUCGUCAACUUUCUUUAUAAAACAAGGAGUCACAAUGGACAGAUCAAUAGCAGGUGGACUUAAAAUACCAGCCGCCUCACUUCAAUCUCUUAUCGGUCUAGGUAUUAUGAUUUCGCUCCUGAUAUAUGAUCGCAUACUCAUUCCAACUGCAAGAAAGUUCACCGGAAAACCUUCUGGAAUUACAAUGCUACAAAGAAUUGGAUUUGGGAUGCUUUUAUCCAUCAUUUCCAUGGUUGUUGCGGCCUUAGUCGAGGAAAAAAGGCUCAAAACAGCUCAAGAAUAUGGUUUGGUUGAUAUGCCAAAGGCGACUAUUCCUUUGAGUAUAUGGUGGCUGGUUCCUCAAUACAUAUUAUUUGGAGUUGCUGAUACAUUCACCAUGGUUGGGUUGCAGGAGUUUUUCUAUGACCAAGUUCCGAGUGGAUUAAGAAGCAUGGGUCUCUCCUUGUACUUGAGUAUUUUUGGGAUUGGCAACUUUUUAAGCAGCUUUCUCAUAUCUGCCAUUGAAAAGUUAAACAGUGGGAUUGGCAAACAAAGCUGGUUUGACAAUAAUCUCAACAAAGCUCAUCUCGAUUACUUCUAUUGGUUGCUUGUUGUUAUUAGUGUUGUUGGGUUGGCUGCUUUCCUAUUUUCUGCCAGAACGUACAUCUAUAAGAAGGGGAACACUACGUGAUUAUAAAGUUAUGAGAUUGGAAAUGCAUUUUUAUGUAACGUGAAAUCCUUUCUUUUGGAGUUGUGUUGACAAUUACAUUUUUUAGAAGCCUUUACUAUGCUUUGUUGGAACAAGAAAUUAGGAAGACCACACAAACUCCACCACCUAGGAGCUUUGUAAUUUAAAACUGUGUGAUUAUUGGAUAUGCAUUGGCAAAUAUCUUAUAUCUUCGAACUCUGUUGAUCGAGGGGUACGUUUCUCGAUGAAGUUGAAAAUUUAUUGAUUUUGAUGGUUUGGAAAUUGGAGAGGAGGCUUUGAGGUUGAAUUCUAUGGGAACUGUAUCUUUCCAUUCUCUUGCAGUAAAGAAGAUGAUCGUGGGAGAAUGAUCAAACAGGACCAUUGUGUUGAAUUCAAAUAGAGAAUGUAGAGAGAAAUGGGGAAACCUCACGAAGGUUUGUCAAAGCAAUUAACGGAAGGACAGCACUAUACACACACACUACGGAGUUUGACAUAAGGAAAUAAACAUAAUCCUAAAUACUCUCUAACACCUUGUUUUGUUUUGAGAAAUUUCUUUCUCAGUUUUCAAAGGUUAUUUUUCCCUUCCUCGUGUUAUAAAGUAACGUGAUAAUAAUAAAAAAAUCUAUAUUUUUUUAUGACUGUUUGCUCAAUUUGUAAUAUGAAAUUCAUUCUUUAAUAAUUUUCAAUUCAAUUCUCUUUUUCAUUAUUUUCACCUUUUAGGAUCUCAUUUUGUUGUGUUUUUUAUCAUUCAUGUUUUGCAAUACUUCCAUUUUGAGUAAUCUUGAUUACAUUUCAGCUCUCUAAACAUGUUUGGUCAAUAUUGUUGAUUAUUUUUUGAAAAUUUUAGACGGUAAGAAAUUGAGAACGGUGCUCCUUGUCGGAGUAAGUAAAUAAAACUAGUCUUUUAACUUGUUGGGUAGAACUUGGAUGGUGGAUAGCGGUGACAAUGGAAACUUGGAUGACAAUGGGUAUAAUUUUUUCUUACAAAUUAGAAAACUUUCUCCACCUCCAAUUAAAUCGUUCUUUGUUGAUUUUUUUGGAAAUUGUUCUCUGUGUAGAAACUAUUUUUUGAUUUCUACUAUUUUUUCUGAGUUCUUGCUUUUUUUUUUAAAAUUUUCUAAUUUGUAAAUUGAUCUUGGUUGCCAAAAUUUGGUAUGAAUAGACUAAGAAAAGAAGAAAGAGAAAAGUUGUUAACAAUAAAACCCAUUUGUAGGAAUUGGGCAUAUGCUAUUGUAAUUGAGAUAAAAAUUUGUAACUAAAAAGUAAAAAAAAAUGUAAAAAUUCACUUUAAGAACGCAUACGGUAAAUGUUUAGAAGGUAUGAGAUGGAUACUAAAUAUGUAUCUUAAUUCAAUUUUGGAACGCAUAUUAAAAGUUUGGAGUGCAAUAUAUCUUUGAGAUAAAUAUCGAAUUUCUACCACGUUAAUUCAUUUGGAGUGCUUUUACAUAUGCUUCUUUUUACGAGAAUAUUUACGAGGAUAGUUAUGACAUUUCACAUCAAAUUUGUCAAACUCUUUCUCUAAAAAUGUAAUUUCAAAAAUCUCUAACAACUAAAUUAAAUGUGUCUCAUAAUAAUUAAUAGCGGAAACAACUGAAAAUUCAAAAGUAGUUUUCUCCUUCACUCUGCAGUAUUAACCUCUAGAUACAAUAAAUAAUAUUUUCCAAAAUUCUGUUAGUGUUACAAUAUUUAUUAUUUACAAGAUAUAGUAAUUGGUAUUUUUUAAAAUACCCAUUACUCUUAUAUUUUUGGAAAAUUGCAUCCCAUAAAAAUAUUUAAAAAAACGUCGCUCAUGACAUUUUAUUCAUAUCGUAAAUAUAACAAAUAUAACAAGUAAUUAGAUAUAUCAUAUGUCUAUUAAAUGUUUAUUUGCUAUUUUUGCGAAAGUUCCUAUAUUUUAAAUUUCUUUGUUACAAUAUUUUAAUUGUUUAUUCUCAAACUAAAAUAAUUUAUAUUUUUAAUACGUACAAAUAUAAUCAAAAUUAAAAUAGACAAUAAUGGGCAGCUCGUUAUCUCGAACUUGAAUUAAAGUAUGACAUUAAAAUAUGUUUGAAAAAGAGAGAGAUUGAGACAAUUUUUUAGUCCAAAGUUUUGAUAUAUUUAGCAUCUCAAUGUAUUGUAUGGUCCACUAAAAUUAUAAAUCACUCACUUCACUCAAAAAAACGUGUUGGAGAUAAGAAUAAAUGAAUAUAACAGUUCAAGAAACUUAGUGGACUAUAAAUGAAUUACAUAAUUGGUUCAUUUAUUUAGCACUUCAUUUUCUUAAAUUAUUAAAUUAAUUUACCUAAAAAAAUAAAAUUAUCAAAUCUAAACUCAGUCAUAAAUAUUUUUGCAAAAUCUACUAUUUUUUAAAAUUUUGAAAUAUUCAAAAUAAUGCCACGUAAAUUAACGGCCAUCAUCUUUCUACCGUCCACGCUGAGUUGCUUUCUCUCUUUAUUAUCUUGUGUGCAUUUCUCUUCAAGUAGGCUCAAGGGUGUCGGUGCUACUCAAGCUCAAGACAGUGACGAAACAAACCGGCCGCUUUCACCCAUUAAUGCAGCCGUGGCGCUUCCUUUGUCUUGGCUGAUUAACGACUUUCGCCGCUUUUCGCCUCAAUUCAGUUUGUCCAUAUCUUGAAGAUGACACAACGGCGAAAUCCAACUUAUUCCAUCACCAAUCAGACUACAUUUCAUGCUGUUUCGCUUCUUUGGAUAAACUUGGAGUAGUGUCGUACCAAUGCCAACAUCUUCUAGUAGCAAUUCAACUCAAUUUUGGUAAUAUUUGGAUCGUUAAGUUUAUGUUUAAACUCUGUUAAUGUCUAUCAAAGUAUGUUAGUUUAUUCUUUAUCCUUUGGAAGGUCUCUGUUUCCAUUUUUUUACUUUUUGUUAGGCCAAGCGAUACGGUAGAACAGUACAUUUUUUGUUUCUAUCUUGUGAUGGGUAUAGAAAAUUUGAAGUUCUAACAACAUUAUUGAUUUCGGUUUAGGUUUGUGAAUAUCAUUGCAGAUGAAUGGUCUGAGGAUAAGAUUGAUGCAAUGAUAAAGAUUAGAGGAAAUAUAUGAGGCUUUUAUAUAUGUUGGAUAUUCAAAGCCUGGACUAAGUGCUGUUGAGUGUUCAACAAAAUGGAGGCUCCUCUGUUGGAUGAGACGGUGGAGGGGGCAGUUGAUUACAAGGGCAACCCAGCCAGCAGAUUCAAUUCCGGCGGCUGGAGAUCCGCCUCCAUCAUCAUUGGUAAAUCAUCAUUAGUGUCUUCUCUUUCUUCUCUUUCCCUAUCCAAUUUUUGUAUCCUCUUGGUCAGGGGUGGAGAUUGCGGAGAGAUUCGCCUUGUUUGGAACCUCCUCCAAUUUGAUUAACUUCUUAACGGACCAGCUCCAGCAGUCGACUGCCACGGCAGCCAAGAAUGUCAAUGCCUGGUCUGGUACUGCAGCCUUGCUACCUUUACUCGGCGCCUUUCUCGCUGAUUGCGUCCUUGGACAAUACCGUACCAUUGUUCUUUUCACUGCUCUUUAUGUUCUGGUUCCUAAACCACUCUAUGCUCUUACUCUUUUAUUGCUUUUCUUUUCCAAAUCCGAACUAUAUAAAAUCUCACAACACUAUACAAGUUAUCGGCUCGGGAUCUGUUAAUUUAGAAUUAUUUUGAUUCCUGUUCUUUCACGUAAUACUUAAUAGUGGAAAUAACUGGAAAUUUCGAAAUAGUUCUCUCUUCAUAAACUGAAACUUUCAAAAUAUUCAGUGUGUCACUUUUUCCUUUUGUUGUUUCUGGAAUUUAGGGCCUUGGGUUGUUGGCCUUAUCUGCAGCAUUACCUUCUCUCGGCAUUUCUGCCUGCCAACAGACUGAAAAAUUUCUGCCAUGUUCCCCGAAUCUAGUCCAAGUAAUUUUGUUUUUCUUCUCCUUGUAUCUGGUGGCAUUUGGUAAAGGGGGACACGAGCCUUGCAUCCAAGCUUUCGGAGCU